AAUUAUAUAUGUUGGAAUUUUUGGUCCUUCAACUUUAUCGUGUGAUCGUUCUGGUUUCAGGGAGAAGAGCAGAGAAAUUGGAUGUUCUGUCAAAUGAAGUCUUUGUGAAGGCUUUGGUCGGCAGUUACAGAACGGAAACGAUAGGUCCGAGUCACGCUAUGGGGUGAUUUGGUAGAGUCACUGAUUAAGAAGAAGAUCGCAAAUCCUGGCAUCUAUCCUCUGAUCUGGACUUUCAUGAAUAACCUUGGAAUUUCAAGUUCAUCCUCCACCCUAAUACUUGAUGGUGAUGAUAUCCCUGCUCUGAAGCAAUUCAAUCUUUGGUUAGCGGAGUCCAAGUGGACGAGUAUAGUGAACCCAUUACUAAAGAGAUACCUAUGGUUUCUAUUCUUAGUGAACUGUUGGAUCUUUCUCGAGAUGGCAUGGGUAAAAAGAAGGCUGUUUUCUUGCAGAAUUUAGCCCUGUUGAUGUUGUUUUUUUGAUGCAGCGAAUCGAGGAGUCUGAAUCCGAUGGUGAUGUUAGUGAGGGUGGGGUGAAAAAAAUUAGAUGUGUUGCAUGAGGGAUAGAAGCUUUUAACAAGAAGUUAGUAACACCAAAGUCCACGGCUAAGAGUUUAUAUGCACUUUUUCUUUUUCGUGUUGAUGAAAGAAAGCUAAAGACGACACCAACUUCAGUAGUUUUGAGAAGUAAUGAAAGAGCGUAAAGGCGAAAAGAGGUCAAACAACUCGACAUUUGCUGAAAAUGGCCUAGGCUCGGAUUGGAAGUGAAUCAGCAUCUGCAAGGAUUUGGGUCAGUUCGGUAAUUCCAUAGCUUAAGCACUUCGGUAAUUCCACGUCACAAAGAUAUGAUAUAAGAGAGAAAGCCUGAAUUGCAACAGCCUUGUUGUAGAAGUACCAUUGAGAGGACUGCGAUCGCCCUAUCACUCUUGGAUACUAAAGUUUUCUUGAUUUAAUCUUGGCCGCCGAAUGUAAUUCAAUUUUGGUGCCAUCAUUCAACUUGUGUUUUGUGACUUUAAUUUGUUUAAUUUAAGAGAUCAACUGUAUGUUAGAAAAUAGGAAAAACUUUAGCAAAUAGCACGAUAACCAUUUACAAAACACCAAUGUUGGAUGAUCUGUACUGUUAUGUUUUAAGUUUCUUUUGAACAAUAUCUGUCUGUUUGAUGUCUAAA